UUUUUGGUUGGAGUGAUUUGUUUUUGUUUUUGUUUUUUUUUUUUAAUUUUGAGCUUGCUUGCUUACAUACAAGUUGAAGCAGCUGGCGAACUUUAUGCUCCUGUUCUUAUCUAGAUUCCUGCAAGUUUCUUCCUUUCUCUCUUUCUCUCUCUCUCUUUGUGUUGCUAAAUUUAAGGCUCUAUUAUUUGAUUAAGUCGAGAUCGAGAUGCAUUUCAAUAACCCAAUUUAGAGGGUUUUGCGUAUUUUUUUAUUGGACUCUUUUGAGCUCGGAAAUCGAGUAAUCCUUUGAUCUAUGGGUUUCGUUUUUGUUGUUCUCUCUAGCUAAACUGCGUAAAAGCAAUUUGGGGUUCAUUUGUGGGAAUUCAAACGCAUCAAAGCUGGACUUUUUUUUUUUUUUAAUUAUCAAUUCACUUUCUGAAUCAGUGCUUAAUCUCUGAGGUUUAUGUAUUGAAACUUUACAGAUCGGAGGAUCCGAAGGUGAAUGCAGCUUACGAUUUCAUCGAAGUGUAGAUCUGCCUGCCGGAUUAGGCCUAAUUGGGGAAUUAUAUAGC
rnacentral:lncRNA from 1 species